rnacentral:rRNA from 1 species
UACAGAGGUCCCAAGCGUUGUUCGGAUUCACUGGGCGUAAAGGGUGCGUAGGCGGUCGGGUAAGUCUGAUGUGAAAUCUCACAGCUUAACUGUGAAACUGCAUUGGAUACUAUCCGGCUCGAGGAAUGGAGGGGAGACUGGAAUACUUGGUGUAGCAGUGAAAUGCGUAGAUAUCAAGUGGAACACCAGUGGCGAAGGCGGUCUCUUGGAGCACUCUUGACGCUGAGGCGCGAAAGCUGGGGGAGCGAACGGG